rnacentral:rRNA from 1 species
GAUGAACGCUGGCGGCGUGCCUAAUACAUGCAAGUCGAGCGAAUGGAUUAAGAGCUUGCUCUUAUGAAGUUAGCGGCGGACGGGUGAGUAACACGUGGGUAACCUGCCCAUAAGACUGGGAUAACUCCGGGAAACCGGGGCUAAUACCGGAUAACAUUUUGAACCGCAUGGUUCGAAAUUGAAAGGCGGCUUCGGCUGUCACUUAUGGAUGGACCCGCGUCGCAUUAGCUAGUUGGUGAGGUAACGGCUCACCACGGCAACGAUGCGUAGCCGACCUGAGAGGGUGAUCGGCCACACUGGGACUGAGACACGGCCCAGACUCCUACGGGAGGCAGCAGUAGGGAAUCUUCCGCAAUGGACGAAAGUCUGACGGAGCAACGCCGCGUGAGUGAGGAAGGCUUUCGGGUCGUAAAACUCUGUUGUUAGGGAAGAACAAGUGCUAGUUGAAUAAGCUGGCACCUUGACGGUACCUAACCAGAAAACCACGGCUAACUACGUGCCAGCCGCCGCUGUAA